GUUACUGGUAUCCUCUUUGAUUUUUAUACUUUUUUUAAAGUGAUUAUUUCUGCUUAGGCAGCUUUGUGAAAUUGGGUUCUGAUCUUUGAUUUUAUUAAGUGGUAGGGUUACUUUUUUUUUAUUUGUCGGCAUCCCUUUGAUUGAGAUAUAAUUUGUACAUAUUUGGACUUGAAUUGUAGUUUGGGGGUGCAUGAUUUCAGUUUGACUGAGUAGGUUUUUUGUUUCUAUCUUUAGAUGUUAUUGAUAUCCCAAAAUGUAUAGUGUGUGACCGAUAUACAGACAUAAUGCUGUGCCAAAAAAGAUAAGGUACAUGUAUUGUGUAGGCGUACAAACUUAAAAUAUUACUAUUAGUAUUCCGUUUCCCACGAUGCAAAUUGUUAUAGAUUUAUUGAAAAGCAUUUGAGCCAUCCAGAUAUGGAUAAAUUUAUCAAGGGAACUUUUUAUGAGUUAUAUUAAUAAAUACAUUGUAACGAUAGUUCUCUACAUGAUUUGAAGCUAUGUGGUGGGAUAAUAUAGUAAAGUUUUGCAUCCUUUACAAUAUAGAAACAUCUCUCUCAUAGUCUUGGUGGUUUUCAGAAAUAACUAAUUAAGAAAAGGGUUAUGUCCAAGGUGGCUAUACCGCAAACCAUACUCGAUUACUUUUCGGUUAUGGCAUUUUUGAGAUAUGAUGGCCACUGUUGGAGUGUACUCUUUUUGGUUUGGGUGUAUAUGUUAUAGACAAUUUACCCAAACCUAAUAUAGCUGUUAUUGAUUUAGUUUUGACAUUUACUGACUUAAUGUACAGGUCCAGUCAGUAAAGUUGUGCUUGUUGCUGCUUGUUGCCACUUUGCUUAUCAAUGAUUUAUUUAUUGUCGUAAUGCAAAAUAACGGUUUUGUUUCAUAAGAACAUGAAGAAAGUUGGGCAUUGUUCCCCGCAUUCAUCAAUAUGACCGGACAUGUAUGGUUAAAUGGCCAACCUUCUUUUGACCUCUAGACGAGGGCGCCCUUCUCAAUGGCGUGUAUUAUAACGUAAUAAUGCUUCUCUGAAACCAAGGCUUUGAGCUUGGGGCUCCACAGACUUGACCCAAGUCCCAAUCCCGUGCCAUCCCCAGAAAACUACUGUUUUGUGAUGCUCUACAUUCCAAAACCUGUUCCGCAUGCAGGACAGGCCAUUUUGACGGCGAGCGCGCACUGUACUGUAUGCUACGACGUUGUUUCAUAGUAAAUUGCGGUAAUAGCUAGGGACCUCUCACACGAGAAUAGGACUUGAAUCAAGUCUAGGGGCUCCACAUCCCUGUGUUUAAAGCCCCGUUAGGAAUGCGCACGUUUUCUUAAUAACUGACAGAGCCUGAAGAAAGAUUAAAUCGUUAUUUCGAAAAGGGUCAUAGAUGAUGUAUACUUUUCCUCAAUGAAGGCAAAGGUAUAUCUUUGGUUUUUGGUUUAUGAUUCUUUAAAUCCGAUUGUAGAUGUAUACGUAAUACAGGCUGUAAUGCUCCUUGGAUUCAAAUUGUUUGGCAUAAAUACGGUUAUCUGUCGACAUAUAACCCCACACUACUUCGGAGUAGGAUGUUUUUAAAAUGCUUUAUACAGUCGAAAGCUGCUGUAGGCUUCUAACAAAAAAACAUAUUGCCAUUAUUUUAAGAGUGGUAACCAGACGUAUACCUUCCCUUUAAAGUUCAAUACUGAUUGCUGACUGGUAACCAGACGUAUACCUUCCCUUUAAAGUUCAAUACUGAUUGCUGACUGGUAACCAGACGUAUACCUUCCCUUUAAAGUUCAAUACUGAUUGCUGACUGGUAACCAGACGUAUGUCAAGAGUACCUCUUUAGUUCUAUGCUCAAAGGGUACUUCCUUAGUUCCCUGCUCCAAAGGUCCAUGUUUAUGUUGAAGCCUAUCCCAGCCUCUUGUCUCUACUUUCUUAAUGCAUCAUUUCUCAAUUUAUAAUGUUCUCUAAUCGGAAGCGACGUCACGUUGAAGUGGAAAGCACUUGCCUGUCAAAAUCACACUUAUCAAAACCGCCAUACUUUGUUUCUUUUGAUUGGGCGUGUGUAGGUUUUUAACAAGCAUGAAUGUAACUUCAUAUGAAUCGGCAGUCACAUUGAAUGAAAGAGGAUCCAACGUGUAGAACAAAGUUUAUGCUAUAAUAUUGAAUCGGCAGUCACAUUGAAUGAAAGAGGAUCCAACGUGUAGAACAAAGUUUAUGCUAUAAUAUUGAAUCGGCAGUCACCUUGAAUGAAAGAGGAUCCAACGUGUAGAACAAAGUUUAUGCUAUAAUAUUGAAUCGGCAGUCACAUUGAAUGAAAGAGGAUCCAACGUGUAGAACAAAGUUUAUGCUAUAGUAUUGAAUUAACAGUCAUUAUGGGUCCUGUUGCAUUUCGCUUGCUCUCAGAACAGAACAGGUAAUGGUGGUGGUGUCAUAGGAUAAAUGAGUCGCAAGUUUACAUCAAAUGUACUGGAUGUAAACUCGUAAUGCGACUUGAUGAUGGAAGUUUGAUGCUCUAAAAGAUUUAUUUGAUAAAGUUGGUAUUGAGAGUUUUAUGACACCCUAAGUUCAAUUUAUGCAGGAGUAGCGCAGUACCAUAUACUUUACUCCUGACUAGACCCAUUUACCCUAAGUUCAAUUUAUGCAGGAGUAGCACAGUACCAUCUACUUUACUCCUGACUAGACCCAUUUACCCUAACUUCAAUUUAUGCAGGAGUAGCACAGUACCAUAUACUUUACUCCUGACUAGACCCAUUUACCCUAAGUUCAAUUUAUGCAGGAGUAGCACAGUACCAUCUACUUUACUCCUGACUAGACCCAUUUACCCUAAGUUCAAUUUAUGCAGGAGUAGCACAGCACCAUAUACUUUACUCCUGACUAGACCCAUUUACCCUAAGUUCAAUUUAUGCAGGAGUAGCACAGUACCAUCUACUUUACUCCUGACUAGACCCAUUUACCCUAAGUUCAAUUUAUGCAGGAGUAGCACAGUACCAUAUACUUUACUCCUGACUAGACCCAUUUACCCUAAGUUCAAUUUAUGCAGGAGUAGCACAGUACCAUAUACUUUACUCCUGACUAGACCCAUUUACCCUAAGUUCAAUUUAUGCAGGAGUAGCACAGUACCAUCUACUUUACUCCUGACUAGACCCAUUUACCCUAAGUUCAAUUUAUGCAGGAGUAGCACAGUACCAUAUACUUUACUCCUGACUAGACCCAUUUCUACCCACAUUUUAUAAAAUCCACAUUCUACAUUAAACCCUAAUUGUCACGGUUCCCAUUACUGUAUGUCUUGGUCUACCACAGUUGCUCUUGUCAAGCUUCUUCGGUGAAUCUCUGUAAAAAUUCAAACUUGUUUUCCGUUUAAACAUUUUUUAUAACCUCUCGUUGAAGUUUGCUUUAAUUGUUUUUUGUGUCAACCGAGAAGUUCAGCAUAUUGUUGCAGUUUCAUUUACUCUUAAGCUGAAUUACUCUAAAAGCGAUAAAUGCCGUCAUCACGUUUGCAUGUUCCUGUUAUAACGCAGUUGGGUUUGGUACCAAUCGUUUAGUAUAUUAUUGUACGGCAGGAGUUCUGCAGCGCCAUUAUUUAGUUUAAGUCCAAUCAUGUAAUUCUCAAGAUUGUUUUAUGAAACUAACCCCCGAGUGUAAUGGCCGCAAGAAGUCUCAUAAGUCAUAGUAUUUAUUUGUUUAUUAUUGUUUUUCUUCUCUUUUAAUAAAACAAUCGUGGUGUUACUGUGAAUUAUUUAGGCCCCUAUUACUUUAUUAUUGAUAAUAUUGUAAAUUAUGAAUUAUUUAUAUGUUUGUUUACUUAUUUCCUUAUUCUGAGGCAGAGGUUCAUAUGAAAAGAUCGACGAUGUUUCCAUUAUAAGGACAUUAUUAUUGUGUGUUUUACCAAUGAAUGCACUACAUGCAUUGGGGAAAUUUUAACUUUUACUUUUUAAUGAUUUUGAUGUUUUUUGUUUAUUUGCUUUAUUAGAUUAUAGAAUUGCGGUUUAAGUGGAUGUAGAUUAUCAAUAAAAUGUACUUUAUUUUUUGGAAGUAAGUUU